rnacentral:rRNA from 1 species
GAUGAACGCUAGCUACAGGCUUAACACAUGCAAGUCGAGGGGAAACGACAUCGAAAGCUUGCUUUUGAUGGGCGUCGACCGGCGCACGGGUGAGUAACGCGUAUCCAACCUGCCCAUCACUUGGGGAUAACCUUGCGAAAGUAAGACUAAUACCCAAUGAUAUCUCUAGAAGACAUCUGAAAGAGAUUAAAGAUUUAUCGGUGAUGGAUGGGGAUGCGUCUGAUUAGCUUGUUGGCGGGGUAACGGCCCACCAAGGCAACGAUCAGUAGGGGUUCUGAGAGGCAGGUCCACCACAUUUGAACUGAGAUACGGACCCAACUGCGACGGGAGGCAGCAGAAGGGACCAUUAGGCAAUGGACGCUAGCCUGAAACAGCCAAGUAGCGUACAGGAAGACGGCGCUAUGAGUUGUCUACUGCUUUUAUAAGAGAAAAAAGUGAGAGUCGUGACUCUUCUUGUCUGUACCUUAUGAAUAAGGACCGGCUAAUUCCGUG